CCCUUAGAUGUUCUGGGCCGCACGCGCGCCACACUGAAUGGAUCAACGUGUUUUCCCUUCCCGAGAGGGACGGGUAACCCGCUGAACCCCAUUCGUGGUAGGGAUCGGAGCUCGCAAUUGUUCUCCGUGAACGAGGAAUUCCUAGUAAACGCAAGUCAUCAGCUUGCAUUGAUUACGUCCCUGCCCUUUGUACACACCGCCCGUCGCACCUACCGAUUGAAUGGUCCGGUGAAAUCUCCGGACUGGCGUGAGUCGGAGCAAUCUGACAAACACCGGAAAGUUGAUUAAACCUUACCAUUUAGAGGAAGGUGAAGUCGUAACA
rnacentral:rRNA from 1 species